rnacentral:tRNA from 1 species
UCCAGGGUAGCCUAGUGGACAUGGCAUCUGCCCAGUAAGCGGAACACUGUGGUUUCGAUUCCCAUCCCUGGAC